rnacentral:lncRNA from 1 species
UUUUAUGGUGCUUACAAACUCAAAAGAUUCCAAACAUUUUUUUAGCCAGUAUAUAAGCUUUUGAGAUCCACUUACUCCAAAGCAGUGUCAUUAUGACUGAAGCAGCCAUUUGUAAUUAGAAAGGCAAAUGCAAAGUAGAAGGAUUUACUGUGUAAUAGCUGGAUUUUUAAAAACUCCAAUUUCUGUUUCUGGCAAGCAGGACAAGAUAAGGAAAAAGAAAUCCUUACCCUAGGAUCAUCCCAUUUCUAUUAAUGUCUUUGAGAUGGAUAAAGACUUACAUUCUGAUAGGCUCGAACGUCAGGUCAAUAUCUAUCUUUCUCAGCAGACUGUGAACUUUUAAACUCUCUGUUUUAUAUUCAAGCCACAAGUACAUGACAUAUAGUAGAUGUUCUAUAAAUAUUUGCUGAUGGAUUUUUUUUUUGUAUAUUCCCUAAAAUCCAGCUGUCUUUCUGCCUUGCCAGAAUUCAGUAAUUGAGCAUAAACCUACUUUGAACUGUAAUCAGCUAUCUCAAGAGGGGAAGUUAUUUAGCGCCUGUCUUGGUUGGUGGGCUCUAAUCCUAUCACUGCUACUUUAAAUUUAGUGAGUUAUGACUAGUAUUUAAAAAUCAGAAGAGAGUAGGAAAUACAAGAAGGCGCUACACAUAAGAUUUUCAUUGUAGACAUACUGGAUUAUAAUUUCAAAACAUCCUUGCCUCCUACCCGUAUUCAAAAUGUCAAGCAGUACCAGUGUUUCUCACAUGGCAACUCCAAGCCAGCCUUUCUUCACAAUAUUUGUGCUUUGAUAUAAUUGCUGCUGUUAUCAUUUGACAUGCUGGAGAUUCACCACCACCAAGGCCUUAAGCUGCUGGGCAAGCCUUCUCCCACCAAACUAUCCUCCUAGCAGUAUAUAUAUGUAUUGUAUGACCUUGAGUUCCCCAGAGUUUAAGUUCCAGUAGAGCACAACUUUGGUAGUCAUUGUUGGUUUCUUCAUCUGUGGAUGAAUGGAGACUAACAAGGUCCUUCCUACACACAAGUAAGGAAAUACGGUUGAAGGGAAAUUCAGAGUCAUUUCUCAGCUCUGACCUGCUAGAUCACCAUUCUCUGCACCCCUGUAACAAUAGCCCCUACUGAACCACUGUUUGUUUAGUUUUCUGUUUUGUUUUUGGUUUUUGGAUUAAGUUGGAUGGGAGAGGCCAGCCAGGUUCAGUUACCACCAUCACCUAACAUUGGCUUGAUACCUAAUAGCCCACUCCCUUAAACCCUAUCUUAACCAUUCAAAGCAUUCUGGGCAAAGUGCCAGCUCAGGAACUCGGCCUCUUUGAAAUAGAGUGCCCCUGAAACCUCCACCCUGGAUCUGGUGGCUUGUCUCCUGCUGCAGAGCUUAAUAGAACAUUUAUAUCCCUUUCCUCUGAGAUCUGGAAAUGUCCAUUCAGUUUUAAAUUAGAUAUUUUUUUCUUUGAACAGUUGGCCUCUGAUACAUCUUUGGGGGUAAAGAGAUGAUGCUAGCACUGGUAGAGAUCUGUGCACUUGAAAAUUUGAUUCCUUUUUGGAAAACUGCUGACCCAAUCUCAUUGUCACAGAAUUAAAUGACCCUGCUGUUUCUACCUACUAACAGCUUCGGCCCUGGGACCCUGAAAUUAGCUUCUAUCACAUGACAAAAACAUGCUUUCAUAAAUAUACACACAUCUAAAAAUAAGGAGAGGUUUUUGUGCCUAAUAGAAGUUCUGUAGUGUAGAUAGGUAAACUAUGCUGGUCUGAAUAAGUAGGAAAGUAAAGAAUCAGUGCUCCUCCUGGUGCAGACUAGUUUUAGAAGCCUUUCAUAUUGGUGGGUUCUUUGUUCAUUUGUCUGUUCAUUUGUUUUGUUUCUAUCUAACAAC